UAUGUGAUCGUCUCUCGCAUAUCAAUAAGCGGAGGAAAAGAAACUAACAAGGAUUCCCCUAGUAACGGCGAGUGAAGCGGGAAGAGCUCAAAUUUGAAAUCUUAAAGGGUUUCCCUUUACGAAUUGUAGUUUAAAGAAGUGUUUUCUGUUGAGGUUUUGGUAAAAGUUCUUUGGAAUAGGACAUCAUAGAGGGUGAGAAUCCCGUAUUUGACCUUUACUUUCAACUUUGUGAUACACUUUCAAAGAGUCGGAUUGUUUGGGAAUGCAGUCCAAAAUGGGUGGUAAAUUUCAUCUAAAGCUAAAUAUUGGCGAGAGACCGAUAGCGAACAAGUACCGUGAGGGAAAGAUGAAAAGAACUUUGAAAAGAGAGUUAAACAGUACGUGAAAUUGUCAAAAGGGAAGCGUUUGACACCAGUGUUGUUUUUCUGAAAAUCAAUUAAAGAACUGUUUAUGCUAAGUUGUUUAGACUUUAUCAGCUAACUGUUUAGUUUUGAGCUUUUCUUUAAUGCACUUUUCAGUUAACAAGUCAACAUCAAUUUCUUUUGCUGUAAAAAAGCUUGAGGAAGGUGGCUUGAGAUUCGUCUUAAGUGUUUAUAGCCUCUUGCCUAUGCAGUCGGAGAGAUUGAGGUCUGCAGCGUAGAUCCUUCGGGGCUAAAUGCAUUUGUGCUAAGUUAUAACAUUUUAUAGACAACUUGUUGACUAUGAUUUGUCUUGUAGCUUACUCGCUUAUGUUAUUUUACCUACGCUUAGGAUGUUGAUCUACAGAGCGAGAGU
rnacentral:rRNA from 1 species